GUCAUCCUAUCCGGUAAACCUUUCUUUAUCAUUGUUAUAAAAUAUGUACAAAUCUCAUUACCUCUUAGUCGAUACCUAAGGACAUAGACAUCCCAUUAUUUACCUAACAAAUACACGACUUUUUGGCUACUACAUUCAUGACUUCAUCUCUUGGAUCUUGAAGUCAUUCUACUACUUAUUAAUUACAACUAGAUGUGCAAAAUUUGGGUAAAAUCAUUAACCUGAACCGAUUUUUGUGUUUUUGGGCUAACAGAUUGGGAUAUUGAUUUAUUGGAUCAGGUGUCGGGUUGCUAGUUUAGCUUAUUGGCUUAUUGGGUUGGGGCUUGGUCACUCAGGCGAGGCGACGACGACGGCGAUGGCGAGUCCUCAGUCACUCAAGCAAGGAGACGAUGAGUCUCGCUUCUCAUAAACUCAGUCUUUUGUGAAAGUAUCAUGGCUGAAAAUAUCAUAAUUCAUAAGGUUGUUGGUGAAAGUGGAGCUUCUAAUUCAAAUGCAAUAGGUCAAACUCAAAUUGUUGAGUUCAAAGUAAAGAAAGAAAGGAAAAAAAGGAUCUCGUGCGUGGGAUCAUUUUACUCGUACAACCUGAUUCUGAUGGAAAUGAUAAGGGUGUUUGCAACUACUGUAAGCAAGGGUAUUUUACUGACCCAAAAAAACAUGGUACCACGGCAAUGCUUGGUCAUAUACUCAAAUGCAAGAAGAAAAUGACCAAUGGAUGGUGCAAAGUUAAAUUUCGUGGUCCUAAAGCUCGAUCACCUGUUUGGAGUCACUUUGAAAAGCUUGAAGAAAAUGAAGAUGGAUGGUGCAAAGUGAAAUGUAUUCAUUGUGGCCGUGUUGCUAAUUAUCAUUCGUGGAAUACCGGGACAAGCUCCUUGUGGAAGAAGCGGGAAGGAAAGGUUGGUUGCACGUCUCAUGUUAAGCAUUGUUUGGAUAACAUGGAGCAGAAUUGUUCACUUGAUUAAGUAGUUAUUAUUUUGUUGACUUGAUUGUGUGACUGUUAAUUUUCUGUUUGUGCUAGACAAUUUUCAAUUUGUGUGAUAUUUUGACAACUUAAUAUUUAAAUUAUGAUGCUGCAAUAGGGCAGCUUGUAGUGUUGUUUAGUCUAAUUAUUUUGGAAUGAUAUUUGUGUUUAGCAGCUUGUGGUGCAGCUAAUAGCCCUGUUGUGUUGAUACUGUUGUAGUGCAGUUGUGUUGUUACUGUUGUACAGUUGUAGUA